rnacentral:lncRNA from 1 species
UAAAAAAAUGUUUUUGAAGUUUUCUCUGUUUUGAAACUAUUUGAAUGCUUUUGAAUAUGUAAAAUUUUCAGAUCUAAAUCAGAUUUUGGAGGACUUCUCAGAAGACUCUUGGAAGACUCUCGAAAGACUUCUUGGGAAUUUUUCUAAUGCAUUUUAUGUUAGAAGACGUCCCAUGAAGUUUUCAAGGAGUCUUCCAAAGUUUUCUGCUCGAAGUUAUACAAAUUUUGGAUAUGUAUUGUGUGUUUUAUAUAUUAGAUUCUAAAAAAUUAUAGAUUCAGC